rnacentral:lncRNA from 1 species
CCGCACCCAGGUCUGCCAAGCUACCGGAGAAGUCCAGUUUUGCUCAGACUUGUAAUCUCUUGAGUCAAUACUUGAAGGAGAAGAGAACCCUUGCAAUUACUCCAAGGAUUGAACCAAAAGGUACUUUACUUUUCUCCAAUUUCAAAUUUCUUAACUAAUUCAACACCCCCCCUUUUUUUUAUUUUACCUGAUUUUGUUCUUCUUUUCACGGAUUUGUUUCAGAUGAGUUUCCGACGACUCGACCACCGGUGGUAAUGAAUUUUUUUACGAACAUGGAAAACCCAGAUGAGAAAUCUGCCUCUGUGGCGGCGGCGGACUCUAUUCCACCAGGCGCAGAGCCGCCCUCUGCCACACAGAUGACCAUUUUUUAUGACGGAAAAGUGUUGGUGUUUAAUGAUCUACCUUCGGAGAGGGCGGAGGAGAUCAUGGCCAUGGCCGGUAAGGGAAUUGCGCCGUCUUCCAGAUCUAUCACCACCGCCGUUUCAGACAACGGCGGAGAACAACCCCUGACGAAAGUCUCGAGCGAUUUACCCAUUGCAAGAAGAGCAUCC